rnacentral:rRNA from 1 species
UACGUAGGGUGCGAGCGUUGCCCGGAUUUAUUGGGCGUAAAGGGCGCGUAGGCGGCUACGCACGUCCGUUGUGAAAUCGCUCGGCUCAACUGGGCGGGGUCAGCGGAUACGGCGUAGCUGGAGCAAGCUAGGGGGCAAUGGAAUUCCUGGUGUAGCGGUGGAAUGCGCAGAUAUCAGGAGGAACACCGAUGGCGAAGGCAGCUCGCUGGGACGGUACUGACGCUGGAG